rnacentral:rRNA from 1 species
GCGGAAGGAUCAUUAUCGAAAUUAUAGGUGAGGGUUGUAGCUGGCCUCUCGGGGCAUGUGCACGCCCGAGCCCUUAAUCCACACACACCUGUGAACCUAUUGUAAGGGCCCUUAAAAAAGGCCUUUACGUCUUAUCAUCAACCCAUCGUAUGUCUCAUAGAAUGUAAAUAUAUGUCCUCGCCUUAAAAAGCGUUGAUAAACUUAUACAACUUUCAACAACGGAUCUCUUGGCUCUCGCAUCGAUGAAGAACGCAGCGAAAUGCGAUAAGUAAUGUGAAUUGCAGAUUUUCAGUGAAUCAUCGAAUCUUUGAACGCACCUUGCGCUCCUUGGUAUUCCGAGGAGCAUGCCUGUUUGAGUGUCAUUAAAUUCUCAACUCCGAUCGAUUUGUUUCGACUUCGGAGCUUGGAUUUGGAGCGUGCUGGCGUCGGUCGGCUCCUCUUAAAUGCAUCAGCGGAAUCUAACGUUUCNGAGGUCAGUGUGAUAAUCAUGUUGCGCUGUCUGUCU